rnacentral:rRNA from 1 species
CCUACGGGAGGCAGCAGUGGGGAAUAUUGCACAAUGGGCGCAAGCCUGAUGCAGCCAUGCCGCGUGUGUGAAGAAGGCCUUCGGGUUGUAAAGCACUUUCAGCGGGGAGGAAGGCGGUGAGGUUAAUAACCUCAUCGAUUGACGUUACCCGCAGAAGAAGCACCGGCUAACUCCGUGCCAGCAGCCGCGGUAAUACGGAGGGUGCAAGCGUUAAUCGGAAUUACUGGGCGUAAAGCGCACGCAGGCGGUCUGUCAAGUCGGAUGUGAAAUCCCCGGGCUCAACCUGGGAACUGCAUUCGAAACUGGCAGGCUAGAGUCUUGUAGAGGGGGGUAGAAUUCCAGGUGUAGCGGUGAAAUGCGUAGGGAUCUGGAGGAAUACCGGUGGCGAAGGCGGCCCCCUGGACAAAGACUGACGCUCAGGUGCGAAAGCGUGGGGAGCAAACAGGAUUAGAUACCUUGUAGUC